rnacentral:lncRNA from 1 species
GUCAAUCAUAUCAGAUCGUAAUAUAUCCAAAGACCAAAAGAAUAAAAUUUUAGAGACAAUUGUAAUAGAUUAAAGGGAGGAGGAUGAAGAUCUUUUAUUAAUAGUAUUGGUUUGGCCAGCCUCUCCAUAGAGAGGUUCAGAGCCUUACAAUAAAAUAUUCUCUCUUCUUUUAGAAAGAGAUGUGAAGAAGAAGAAGAAGAAGAAGAAGAAGAAGAAGAAGAAG